UGGGGAAUUUUGGACAAUGGGCGAAAGCCUGACCCAGCAAUGCCGCGUGUGUGAAGAAGGCCUUCGGGUUGUAAAGCACUUUUGUCCGGAAAGAAAUCCUUGGCUCUAAUACAGUCGGGGGAUGACGGUACCGGAAGAAUAAGCACCGGCUAACUACGUGCCAGCAGCCGCGGUAAUACGUAGGGUGCAAGCGUUAAUCGGAAUUACUGGGCGUAAAGCGUGCGCAGGCGGUUUGCUAAGACCGAUGUGAAAUCCCCGGGCUCAACCUGGGAACUGCAUUGGUGACUGGCAGGCUAGAGUAUGGCAGAGGGGGGUAGAAUUCCACGUGUAGCAGUGAAAUGCGUAGAGAUGUGGAGGAAUACCGAUGGCGAAGGCAGCCCCCUGGGCCAAUACUGACGCUCAUGCACGAAAGCGUGGGGAGCAAACAGGAUUAGAUACCCUGGUAGUCCACGCCCUAAACGAUGUCAACUAGUUGUUGGGGAUUCAUUUCCUUAGUAACGUAGCUAACGCGUGAAGUUGACCGCCUGGGGAGUACGGUCGCAAGAUUAAAACUCAAAUGAAUUGACGGGGUCAUAGCUGUUUCCU
rnacentral:rRNA from 1 species